rnacentral:rRNA from 1 species
UACGAAGGGGGCUAGCGUUGUUCGGAUUUACUGGGCGUAAAGCGCACGUAGGCGGAUUGUUAAGUCAGGGGUGAAAUCCCAGAGCUCAACUCUGGAACUGCCUUUGAUACUGGCAAUCUCGAGUCCGGAAGAGGUGAGUGGAACUCCUAGUGUAGAGGUGGAAUUCGUAGAUAUUAGGAAGAACACCAGUGGCGAAGGCGAUCACCUGGGGUUGUUCUGACGCUGAGGAGCGAAAGCUAGGGGAGCAAACGGGG